UCGUGCCGAGCGGUUCCGGCGCUUCAGCAAGGGUUUCCAUGUCCUUGGGAGACCGUGACCCAGUAAUCCUCCCAACAGAGAGGGGGUUUCCAGCAAACCACCGUGACAGCUCCUCCAGAGUUCAAAUACUGAAGACUUAUGCGUGCCACAGACCUAAAUCUCAAGGUGACUAGUCUUCAGAAGACCAGGCUCUACUUCUACUUCUCCAGGCAUCAAAGGGAAAAAAAGAAUGUUUCUACGCAACCCAUUCAGAACAAAGAAUAUGUACACAAUGAAACAGAUAUAAAACCAAAAUCCAAGAACCCUAAAAGAAGCUAAAAUUCUGUAAUUACGUAGGCAAACGCUUAUUUCCCGCUGUUUUAGAUUUUGAUGCUGGUGGUAGGGGAGGAGUUACUGCAGCAGCAGAAGAAAAAGCAUGGUCAUUAAUAGCACAAACUUAAUUCCUUGCUAGUUGGGCAACCCUGGGCAAGUAACCUUUUAGAGCCUGUUUCCUGAAGUGUAAAUUAUUACAAAUAACACCACUUCCUUUUUGAAAAGAAAAGAAGAGACAAGACAAGACAAGACAAGACAGGAUCUAUGUUGCCCCAGGCUGGCCUCGAACUACUGGGCUCAAGCAAUCCUCCUGCCUCAGCCUCCUGAGUACCUGGGACUACAAGCACAAGCCAUCCUGCCCAACACCAAAGGUUGCUGUGAGUCUUAGACGAUACACAAAACUACAUAUCACAACGCCUGGCACUUGGCAGGUUAUUAUUAGAAAAAUGUCUAGAAAGUACAAAAAUCACUUUUUGCUUCAAAGUAACAGGUAUUGAUCCAUCCCAUUGUAAAGUCAGAAUUUCCUCUAAAUGCUACUUCAGCUCAUUUUUCCUAGCUUUCUCCCUAUUAUGGCAGCCCACUUCACACUGCAUGUCACCUGUACCUCUGCUAGUACAUCACUACUUCCGCUAUAGAGUACAGUAGAAGCUUCUACUGUAACUUGCAGCAUCUCCACCAGUCUGAAAAGUAAGCCCACUGAACAAAGAUAGUAAUUCACGUUUAAUACGUGUUUUCAAAAGACAAUGACCACCAGUUUCCACAAUGGAAAAGACCAACAUCUACCAUCUAAGUUUUUCCUGGCAGAUCAUUCAACCAAGCACUUCACUGAAAGUAAGACUUCUCAGGUAUCAAAAGAACAAUUUAUCCACCUUUACCUAUAGGAAUUACUGAUGCCUAUUUCCUAUGGUUGUCUUGCUAAACUGUCUAAAACUGCUUCACCAAUUGUUUGCUAAGCACUGUAUUUAAAACAAGCAUUUAAAUAAAAUGGCUUCUUUGAUUUAUUAAAUU